rfam:Schistosoma haematobium scaffold799_27, whole genome shotgun sequence.
GCACUGCUGAGGAGUCCCACAAUAGGACGAAACAGUCGUCCAUUGC